ACAGGACAGGUAUGAGGGAAUUACAGGCUGGGGAGACAGGUCAGGUAUGGGGGAAUUAAAGGCUGGGGAUACAGGAAAGGUAUGGGUGAAUUACAGGCUGAGGAUACCAGACAGGACAGGUAUGGGUGAAUUACAGGCUGGGGAUACAGGACAGGUAUGGGUGAAUUACAGGCUGGGGAGACAGGACAGGUAUGGGUGAAUUACAGGCUGGGGAGACAGGACAGG